rnacentral:lncRNA from 1 species
CUCAAUUUAAAAUGACCUUUAAUUAAGGGCGCUUUCACAUAUCCUCUUAUGAUCUGGAUCCAGGAGCGUUUAGUUUUCUACCCUGAUCCGCGCUAUAAAGCAUGUGUGAAACACAAACUAACCCGGGCUGAAACGAAUAUCUUCUUAUGAGGAUAGCGUGAGUAGCGGGUCCAAGAUCCAGGACCAGAGUACCAGGAAUUGUGACAGUGGCAGAGCGAGUCGAAUGGAACUUUUUUACCUGUUGCACUCGCCAAGAUUCCUUCCAGUCAACGUGCAGUCUGAACCUGGCCUCUGUGGUUUACACAGUGAUGAUCGUGAAGAGCAUGGUGUACUGCUGUGGGCUCUCUCUCCUGCUGCACCACAGGAUUCUAGGAAGAGGACCCAGCACCUGAAGACCUCUAUGAGGAAAAUCAUUUAUGUGCUUUUUUACAUUGAUACAAUGUUGUUGUUUUUUUACAUUGAUCCAGCUUGCAUGACAUUUUCCUUGCCUAACACAGCCUGCUCAAAUUAACCAAGUUGAUCAAAAUAACCAUAUUAUUUUAGAUGAGGAUGGAUUUAAUUAUCGCUGCCUUUAUGAACAAAAUGUUGCAACAACAAUGGUUCUGUAAAUCAUUGUAAAAUACAUUUUUUACAGUUCCGUGCUGUUUUCUAUGAAUAAAGGUUACUUAAAACCCCCAAAACAUUGCAUCUCUUU